GGUCUCUGCACCUAUCCUUUCCUUUGUAUUCUAGUUCGAGAACCCCUUGUUUUCUCAAAACACGGAUUUGGCUCAGGAUUACCCUUUUUUAAUUCCAGGGUUUCCCUGAAUUUGGAAGUUACCACCUAG
rnacentral:rRNA from 1 species